rnacentral:rRNA from 1 species
AUUGAACGCUGGCGGCAGGCCUAACACAUGCAAGUCGAGCGGAUGAAGGGAGCUUGCUCCUGGAUUCAGCGGCGGACGGGUGAGUAAUGCCUAGGAAUCUGCCUGGUAGUGGGGGAUAGCGUCCGGAAACGGGCGCUAAUACCGCAUACGUCCUGAGGGAGAAAGUGGGGGAUCUUCGGUCCUCACGCUAUCAGAUGAGCCUAGGUCGGAUUAGCUAGUUGGUGGGGUAAAGGCCUACCAAGGCGACGAUCCGUAACUGGUCUGAGAGGAUGAUCAGUCACACUGGAACUGAGACACGGUCCAGACUCCUACGGGAGGCAGCAGUGGGGAAUAUUGGACAAUGGGCGAAAGCCUGAUCCAGCCAUGCCGCGUGUGUGAAGAAGGUCUUCGGAUUGUAAAGCACUUUAAGUUGGGAGGAAGGGCAGUAAGUUAAUACCUUGCUGUUUUGACGUUACCAACAGAAUAAGCACCGGCUAACUUCGUG